UACAUAUGGGGCGAGCGUUGUCCGGAUUUAUUGGGUGUAAAGGGUGCGUAGGCGGGAAAGUAAGUUAGUUGUGAAAUCCCACGGCUUAACCGUGGACUUGCAACUAAAACUGUUUUUCUGGAGUAUCGGAGAGGAAAGCGGAAUUUCUAGUGUAGCGGUGAAAUGCGUAGAUAUUAGAAAGAACACCAAAGGCGAAGGCAGCUUUCUGGACGAUAACUGACGCUGAGGCACGAAAGCGUGGGUAGCAAACAGG
rnacentral:rRNA from 1 species